rnacentral:rRNA from 1 species
AUUGAACGCUGGCGGCAUGCCUUACACAUGCAAGUCGAACGGUAACAGGUCUUCGUUUGCUGUCGAGUGACGAACGGGUGCGUAAUACAUCGGAACGUGCCCAGACGUUGUGGAUAACGAGGCGAAAGCUUUGCUAAUACCGCAUACGAUCUAAUGAUGAAAACAGGGGACCUCAAUGCCUUGCGCGGUUGGAGCGGCCGCUUGCAGAUUAGGUAGUGGGUGGGUUAAUAGCUUACCAAGCCGACGAUCUGUAGCUGGUCUGUGAGGAGAACCAGCAACACGGGGACGGGGAAACGGCCAAGACCCCAAGGGGAGGCAGAGGUGGGAAAUUUUGGACAAUGGGGGAAAGCCUGAUCCAGAAAGGCGGCGGGGAGAAUGAAGGCCUUCGAGUUGUAAACUGUUUUUGUACGGAACGAAAAGGCUCUGGCUAAUACCUGGGGCACAUAACGGAACCGUAAGAAUAAGCACGGCUAAACUACGU